GUACACUCCUACGGGAGGCAGCAGUGGGGAAUAUUGGACAAUGGGCGCAAGCCUGAUCCAGCCAUGCCGCGUGAGUGAUGAAGGCCCUAGGGUUGUAAAGCUCUUUCACCGGUGAAGAUAAUGACGGUAACCGGAGAAGAAGCCCCGGCUAACUUCGUGCCAGCAGCCGCGGUAAUACGAAGGGGGCUAGCGUUGUUCGGAUUUACUGGGCGUAAAGCGCACGUAGGCGGACUAUUAAGUCAGGGGUGAAAUCCCGGGGCUCAACCCCGGAACUGCCUUUGAUACUGGUAGUCUUGAGUGCGAGAGAGGGGAGUGGAAUUCCGAGUGUAGAGGUGAAAUUCGUAGAUAUUCGGAGGAACACCAGUGGCGAAGGCGGCUCACUGGCUCGAUACUGACGCUGAGGUGCGAAAGCGUGGGGAGCAAACAGGAUUAGAUACCCCUGUAGUCCCAUG
rnacentral:rRNA from 1 species